GGAAGGGAGGAAGCGUAGAAGGUGCCGAUGCACUUUUCCUCUCUCCAGCCCUCCUGACUGCUCCAAGAAUUUCAUCGAACAAGACUCAAAGAGGCCCAGCUGCUCUGCGUUUUGAUUCUUCUCCCUCUCUCAGUCCACACUGACCUGGGAGGGGCUUCUCAAACACCACAUUUCCUAGCGUGCUGUGAGAAGAGGACUGUGAGCUAAGAAGGGAGAAAAGGGUGCAUAGUAUGAGAAGACUUAAGAGAUGGGUAGAGAAAAACUAAAAAGCAUCCAGAGAGCCAAAUAAAAAUACAGACAAACCAACCAACCAAGCACUGACGAGCCAGUAAAGAGGGAACUGUCGGGGAAUCAGGGCUGAGAGAAUCUCUGAUACAGCAGCGGAAAUAGGCACUCCCUCCUCAUCAACAAACACCUGACCUGGGUAGACCCUCUGCUUACCAAGAUCCAGUCCACCUUUUGACAUCAGCAUUCAUGCUGCCUCUUUUUACGAACCAAGCCAAAGUGGUCCCUUCCUCUGGAAAUUAUAGGAUACUUAAUGUACAUCAUAUCCAGCUUCCCGACUCCAGACUGUGGGAGAUGACACAGAGCCAGCCUGCCUGGAUGUGACUCAGCUCUGCAACUUAUUAAAGACCUUUGGCAAA
ensembl:lncRNA novel transcript